rnacentral:rRNA from 1 species
CCAAUAGCGUAUAUUAAAGUUGCUGCAGUUAAAAAGCUCGUAGUUGAAUUUCGGGAUCAAUAUGUCGGUCGUGCCUCGGUACGUACUGGCUUAUUGGUUUCUCCUUUCUGAAGAACCAUGAUGUCAUUUAUUUGGUGUCGUGGGAAAUCAGGACUGUUACUUUGAAAAAAUUAGAGUGUUUAAAGCAGGCUCACGCUUGA